rnacentral:rRNA from 1 species
AUACGUAGGUGGCAAGCGUUGUCCGGAUUUAUUGGGCGUAAAGCGAGCGCAGGCGGUUUCUUAAGUCUGAUGUGAAAGCCCCCGGCUCAACCGGGGAGGGUCAUUGGAAAAUGGAGACUUGAGUGCAGAAGAGGAGAGUGGAAUUCCAUGUGUAGCGGUGAAAUGCGUAGAUAUAUGGAGGAACACCAGUGGCGAAGGCGGCUCUCUGGUCUGUAACUGACGCUGAGGCUCGAAAGCGUGGGGAGCAAACAGGAUUAGAUACCCUGGUAGUCCACGCCGUAAACGAUGAGUGCUAAGUGUUGGAGGGUUUCCGCCCUUCAGUGCUGCAGCUAACGCAUUAAGCACUCCGCCUGGGGAGUACGACCGCAAGGUUGAAACUCAAAUGAAUUGACGGGG